rnacentral:lncRNA from 1 species
UUGACAGUUUGGCUUCCCUGUUCUGGGUGGCAAAGCCUGUGGAGUACUCACCUACCUGCUGCAUGAAGGCAGCAUGGAGGGACUGUGGUGGAUUAUCUGCAAAGAUGGCCAAAAUUCUCUCAUCCCUGCAGGCACAUACAAGAUGCCAGAAUCAGUCAAAACUAAGCUCACUGUCCUUGCUAAUAUUCUGCCCCAGAGAAGAACUGAAGCUCAGCUCUUCACCCUACAGAAAGCCUGAAUUUUGUAAAUGUUCUGCUUAGAAUGAGGAAGAAAGAUGAAGAAUGAGGAGGAAGAAGGAAGGAACGAGAGAGAGGUUGUUGCAUGGCAUAAGUAAAGUGACAGUUAUAGGAUACAUGCAACUUUUCAGUGACAAAGAUCUGUGCAGCAUCGACAGUACUGCCUAAUGAGGUUUCACCAUAAUGAAGUAUCACAACCAGUUUACAGACCAGAAAACUGAGACACAGGAAGGGGUGGUGACUUGAGCAAGGUGCAUCAGCUGCCAGGUUUCCAGAAGUUCCCCAGUCAUUGAGCAUUUCUGAGGCUCUUGAUGCAUAUGCCAAGUAGUUAUGGAGAAAGACACAGCAGCUUACCUCUGCAGGCAUCAUUGUGUGAAAGGAAGACCCAGGCUCUCUCACCACCCUUGAACAGAAGCCUUUUGCUAAGGUGAUAGCUACAUGUCCAAGCCUAUUGCGUGGCAUGCAUUUUGCCUUCUGCAGCCCACUAAAGGAAAUUGAAGUAUACAGAAUGCUUAUUUGGUCUACUCAGUAUCAUCCUAAAUGUAUGUACCAAUGCUUAGGAGUUUGCAGUUCACCCGCAAACCUCAGCGAUCCAAGCUCCCCUGGA